rnacentral:rRNA from 1 species
CUAGCAUAUCAAUAAGCGGAGGGAAAAAGAAACCAACAGGGAUUGCCUUAGUAGCGGCGAGUGAAGCGGCAAGAGCUCAAAUUUGAAAUCUGGGUACCUUCGGUGCCCGAGUUGUAAUUUGAAGAAAGCUAUCUUGGAUUUGGCCUUUGUCUAUGUUCCUUGGAACGGGACGUCAUAGAGGGUGAGAAUCCCGUCUGAUGGGGUGUCCCAUUUCUAUGUAAGGAUGCUUUCGAAGAGUUCGAGUUGUUUGGGGAAUGCAGCUCAAAGUGGGUGGUAAAUUCCAUCUAAAGCUAAAUAUUGGCGAGAGACCGAUAGCGAACAAGUACUGUGAAGGAAAGAUGAAAAGAACUUUGAAAAGAGAGUGAAAAAAGUACGUGAAAUUGUUGAAAGGGAAGGGUAUUUGAUCAGACUUGGUAUUUAGUUAUCGUUCGCACUUGUGUGGGCGCUCUAGCUUUUUACUGGGCCAGCAUCAGUUUUGGUGGCAAGAUAAUGACAGUUGAAUGUGGCUCCUCGGAGUGUUAUAGCCUCUGUUGAUAUUGCCUACCGGGACUGAGGUCUGCGGCUUUUGCCUAGGAUGCUGGCGUAAUGAUCCAAUACCGCCCGUCUUGAAACAUGGACCAAGGAGUCUAACGUCUAUGCGAGUGUUUGGGUGUAAAACCCGUACGCGUAAUGAAAGUGAACGUAGGUCAGGGCCCUUUUAGGGUGCACGAUCGACCGAUCCUGAUGUUCUCGGAUGGAUUUGAGUAAGAGCAUAGCUGUUGGGACCCGAAAGAUGGUGAACUAUGCCUGAAUAGGGUGAAGCCAGAGGAAACUCUGGUGGAGGCUCGUAGCGGUUCUGACGUGCAAAUCGAUCGUCGAAUUUGGGUAUAGGGGGCGAAAGACUAAUCGAMCCAUCUAGUAGCUGGUUCUGCGGA